ensembl:misc_RNA Metazoa_SRP Metazoan signal recognition particle RNA
GCUGGGCGGGGUGGUGCGCACCUGUAAUCUCAGCUACUUGGGAGGCUGAGGCAGGAGAAUUGCUUGAACCCAGGAGGCAGAGGUUGCAGUGAGCCAAGAUCACGCCACUGCACUCCAGCCUGGGUGACAGAGCAAGACUCUGUCUCAA